rnacentral:rRNA from 1 species
CCUACGGGAGACAGCAGUGGGGAAUAUUGCACAAUGGGGGAAACCCUGAUGCAGCGACGCCGCGUGAGCGAUGAAGUACUUCGGUAUGUAAAGCUCUAUCAGCAGGGAAGAAAAUGACGGUACCUGACUAAGAAGCCCCGGCUAACUACGUGCCAGCAGCCGCGGUAAUACGUAGGGGGCAAGCGUUAUCCGGAUUUACUGGGUGUAAAGGGAGCGUAGACGGCUGUGCAAGCCAGCUGUGAAAGGCCGGGGCUCAACCCCGGGACUGCAAUUGGAACUGUGAGGCUGGAGUGGAGGAGAGGCAGGCGGAAUUCCUAGUGUAGCGGUGAAAUGCGUAGAUAUUAGGAGGAACACCAGUGGCGAAGGCGGCCUACUGGACGGUGACUGACGUUGAGGCUCGAAAGCGUGGGGAGCAAACAGGAUUAGAUACCCGAGUAGUC